AUGGUAGAAAAUUGGGUGUAUUUGAAAGAGGUGGUUGGAUUUGAAAAUCUGAAGAACCAAAUGAUAGAUAUAAAGAGAGGAGUGCCUUGUGUAUUCACAAAUUAUCAACCAGAGAAUCAGAUAAGAUUUCCUUUAGUCACACACACCUACCUUCUUACUAGGAAGAUCUACAUACUUGAAAAAUUGUUCUGCUUGACCCAAGUUACUUAUCAAUCCCUUUAUUAUAAUAUUUGUAAGUAUUGGGGCUCGAGAACCGAGCGGAGCUUGUUGAGCCUUCAAAGCCCUAAAACGUGUGACCAUGGGUUCGGGGUUUAUGGAUUGAAUUCCGCCGGCGCAGGAGCCUCUGCAGAGAGAGAGCGCGAGACAUUGGAGAUAGGCAGAAGGAUUCAUUUAGCGCUGCGCAACAGGGCGCCCUCUGAUGUGAAAUAACUUGUCCUGGACAGCAGUUGGUCGAAUGAAGGCAAACUCGAAGGCCUCACAGAUGACUUUGAAGACCUGGAAUUCUUAAGUACAAUCAACGUAAGCCUCGCCUCAAUCUCAAACUUACCAAAGUUAAACUAACUUAAGAAGCUUGAACUAAGAGUCUCGGGGGGCCUGGAAGUAUUGGUAGAAAAGUGUCCAAACCUCACAUAUCUAAAUUUAAGUGGCAACAAAAUUAAAGACCUCAGCACAAUAGAGCCACUGAAAAAGUUAGAAAACCUCAAGAGCUUAGACCUUUUCAAUUGCGAGGUAACCAACCUGAACGAUUCCCGAGAAAAUGUGUUCAAGCUCCUCUCACAACUCACAUAUCUCCACGGCUAUGACCGGGACGACAAGGAGGCCCCUGACUCGGAUGCUGAGGGCUACGUGGAAGGCCUGGAUGUGAGGAGGAGGAGGAGGAUGAGGAGGAGUAUGAUGAAGAUGCUCAGGUAGUGGAAGAUGAGGAGGACAAGGAUGAGGAGGAGGAAGGUGAAGAGGAGGACAUGAGUGGAGAGGAGGAGGAGGAUGAAGAAGGUUAUAACGAUGGAGAGAGAGAUGACGAGGAAGAUGAAGAAGAGUUUGGUGAAGAAGAAAGGGGUCAGAAGCGAAAACGAGAACCUGAAGAUGAGGGAGAAGAUGAUGACUAAGUAGAAUAACCUAUUCUGAAAAAUUCCUAUUGUGAUUUGCCUGUUUUUACUCAUAUCCCCUCCCCCCCAUCCAAUCCUGUGCCCUGAAACUUAUUUUUUUCUGAUUGUAACGCUGCUGUGGGAACAAGAGGGGAAAAGUGUACUGGGGGUGGUGAGGGGAGGGAGGGCAGGAGGGGGUGGACUAAAAUACUGUUUUUA